rnacentral:rRNA from 1 species
UACAGAGGUCUCAAGCGUUGUUUCGGAUUCAUUGGGCGUAAAGGGUGCGUAGGUGGCGCGGUAAGUCGGGUGUGAAAUCUCGGAGCUUAACUCCGAAAUUGCAUUCGAUACUGCCGUGCUUGAGGACUGGAGAGGAGACUGGAAUUUACGGUGUAGCGGUGAAAUGCGUAGAUAUCGUAAGGAAGACCAGUGGCGAAGGCGGGUCUCUGGACAGUUCCUGACGCUGAGGCACGAAGGUCAGGGGAGCAAACGGG